GACGAACGCUGGCGGCGUGCUUAACACAUGCCAGUCGAACGGUGAAGCGCCUUCCUUUUUGGUGGGUGUGGAUGAGUGGCGAACGGGUGAGUAACACGUGAGUAACCUGCCCCCUUCUUCUGGAUAACCGCAUGAAAGUGUGGCUAAUACGGGAUAUUCUGGGUCUGUCGCAUGAUGGGUCUGGGAAAGAUAUUGUUUCGGUGGGGGAUGGGCUCGCGGCCUAUCAGCUUGUUGGUGGGGUGAUGGCCUACCAAGGCGGUGACGGGUAGCCGGCCUGAGAGGGUGGACGGCCACACUGGGACUGGGACACGGCCCAGACUCCUACGGGAGGCAGCAGUGGGGAAUAUUGCACAAUGGGCGCAAGCCUGAUGCAGCGACGCCGCGUGAGGGAUGGAGGCCUUCGGGUUGUGAACCUCUUUCGCCAGUGAAGCAGGCCUGCCUCGUUUGUGGGUGGGUUGACGGUAGCUGGAUAAGAAGCGCCGGCUAACUACGUG
rnacentral:rRNA from 1 species